UUAAACUGAAGAGUUUGAUCCUGGCUCAGAUUGAACGCUGGCGGCAUGCCUUACACAUGCAAGUCGAACGGCAGCACGGGUGCUUGCACCUGGUGGCGAGUGGCGAACGGGUGAGUAAUACAUCGGAACAUGUCCUGUAGUGGGGGAUAGCCCGGCGAAAGCCGGAUUAAUACCGCAUACGAUCUACGGAUGAAAGCGGGGGACCUUCGGGCCUCGCGCUAUAGGGUUGGCCGAUGGCUGAUUAGCUAGUUGGUGGGGUAAAGGCCUACCAAGGCGACGAUCAGUAGCUGGUCUGAGAGGACGACCAGCCACACUGGGACUGAGACACGGCCCAGACUCCUACGGGAGGCAGCAGUGGGGAAUUUUGGACAAUGGGCGAAAGCCUGAUCCAGCAAUGCCGCGUGUGUGAAGAAGGCCUUCGGGUUGUAAAGCACUUUUGUCCGGAAAGAAAUCCUUGGCUCUAAUA
rnacentral:rRNA from 1 species